rnacentral:lncRNA from 1 species
UCCAAAUUGACCAGCCAGAAUCACAUAUGUCGCCUUCUUCUUACGCCUCUGAAGCUGCAGGUUUUCAAGGAAGGAAGCCGGAGCGUCUAAUGGACAAGCCGGUGGUGACGUGCGUUUGAAGGGUUUACUUUGAAGGUGAAGAUGGGGACUUUCCGGAUGGCAAUCAAGCAUGUUAUCAAGAACCGAACACGAACUUUUGAAGCUUCCGCAUUAACUUAACUUUGUCUAGACAAUGUUUUUGGAU